AGGGCAGUGCUUGAGUGGUAGAGCUUUCGCUUUAUAUGCGGAAAGACCUGGGUUCGAUUCCCGGCUGAUCCC
rnacentral:tRNA from 1 species